GCCUUCGUGGUGUAGUGGUCAGCACGCUCGAUGCAACCGAGAGGUCCGUGGUUCGAUUCCCGGCGAAGGCG
rnacentral:tRNA from 1 species